GAUGAACGCUGGCGGCGUGCCUAAUACAUGCAAGUCGAGCGAACAGACGAGGAGCUUGCUCCUCUGACGUUAGCGGCGGACGGGUGAGUAACACGUGGAUAACCUACCUAUAAGACUGGGAUAACUUCGGGAAACCGGAGCUAAUACCGGAUAACAUGUUGAACCGCAUGGUUCAACAGUGAAAGACGGUCUUGCUGUCACUGAUAGAUGGAUCCGCGCCGCAUUAGCUAGUUGGUAAGGUAACGGCUUACCAAGGCAACGAUGCGUAGCCGACCUGAGAGCGUCAUCGGCCACACUGGAACUGAGACACGGUCCAGACUCAUACGGGAGGCAGCCGUAGGGAAUCUUCCGCAAUGGGCGAAAGCCUGACGGCGCAACGCCGCGUGAGUGAAGAAGGUCUUCGGAUCGUAAAACUCUGUUAUUAGGGAAGAACAAAUGUGUAAGUAAAUAUGCACGUCUUGACGGUACCUAAUCAGAAAGCCACGGCUAACUACGUG
rnacentral:rRNA from 1 species